ensembl:lncRNA
UCCGCCCCCAGCGUCUGCUCUGGGCCUGGGAGACCCCAUCACCCCCGCCCCCACCCCACAUAGCCCCAUUGUGAGUCCGUGUAGCUGGCCUUGUCUGUUGACUUCUCUCCAUCCCGGGGCGGGGGGGGGGGGGGGGGGGGGCCGGUUCAGGUGCCUGGGGUGGAGGGUGGAGGGGUGAGGCGGUGCGGGGCUCGGAGACCAGCCUCAGAGCUCCCCAGGCUCCUUAGACCCACUCAAGAACUUGCCAGUAAAAUGAGGGACAAUGUGCAUAUUGGAAAAUUCAAGUCCAGGCAGGUGGGCUAUAUGCAUGUUCCAGGCUGCUGUUUGCCGUGGCCCUGGAGGACCUCACUGGAGAACAAAUAUUGAUGCUUUGUUAGCGCACACAGACAUUCUCGGCAAUGCUGAUUAGCGCUUGGGGCUGAUCCGACCAAGGUCAGGGGCUUGUGCCCCCUCAAACUGCACCCAUUAGCUUCUCUUAGAGAAGCCCGGAGACGACACGCCUGGCGGUGGGAGGGGGCUUUCCAGUCCACCAGCAUGGACCCGAAUGCUCAGGCCUCCCUGCCUCUAAGGCUUUCACCUUCCAUGGCUUCAGAGGAUCGCAUGAGGUCAACACCAGCUAAGACGUGUGAAGCCCUUGACACAGAGCUCAGCAGAGACAGGAUGCUCAGUCCAUGGGAGCCAUGAUGAUGAUAAUGAUUAUUAACAUGUUCCCAAGGUGGCCUUCGUCUGCUAAGCGUCUUUUCAACUCUCUUUUUUCCUCCUCUCAACGUGGACCAGCUACACUUGAAGUGCUCAAGAGCCACACUCAGCUGGUCGCUACCUUACAGAUGGCGCAGGUCCAGAAGAUGGGCCUCAGAACUGAGUCUGACCUGUUAAACGACCCUGCACACGGCUAUUGGGGGGAUUUCUUAAGUCUCUGGGUAAAGCUACGGAAAACAAAUGGUGGCUCCAGGAGCUGGUCCUUAAAGCAAUCGGUGAGUCCCAAGAUUAAAAUUCAACUGCAGCCAAAUUCUGCUAUAAACAGCUUCCCUCCACCUGGGGUCCGGGAGGCGGGCAGACGCAGUCCCCUCUCCUGGGCAUCCACCCAUGAAAGCCCCGCCUCACGGCAUCACCCAAAGCUGUCAAUUACCCGUCAUGCCCGCCCGGCUCCCAGCUACAGCAGGCUUUUACAGUCCGUCUGUAAGGCGCUCUCAAUUUGUGGCCGGACCUUCCUAAGGCUUGUUCUUACCCAGCAAUCCAAAUAAAAAUAGUGCUAUUGAUCACAAAGGCAUCAAUAACGUCAGCCCUAAAGCUACUCGUGCACAUUUUUAAUUGUCCUGUCCCUUUUUAUAUCUUUAAAUAUCACCAUAAGCUUCUAGGAGACAGGCUUCCUCUCCUUGGGAGGGAGGAAAGCGCUCUCCCCGCUCAGCUGAAAGCAGUCGGGAUUGUACCUCACACUGUUAAUGAUGGCGAGGUCCCUUUUCGUGAAGAAGAAAAUAAACCACCGGCUGACCCCACUUUGGGCCCGGUGUUAGAACGCAGAGGAAAUGCUGUCCCAUUACGCCUAAUUUCUCAUUGUUUUCCCGACUGGUUCACAUCCCAGCAAUUAUGCUUCAUUUGCUGGAACAGAGAACAGUAAAAUGCCCAGCUGGUAGGCAAUCCCCCCGUGAUUAAAGCAUGGGCCGAUCAGAAAGCUGACGUCCAAUAGAUUAAUCAAGAAAUAAGGAAGGAAUGCCUGUGUUUGAUGCUUGUGAAUCUGCACAUGUGGAUCUCCAGAUGUUUCAACUUAAUUUUUACCGCCAUAAAAACUAAGAAAGAGAAAACGGGAGUGAUGCCAACAGCCAGGCAAACGCCCCCAGCAAAGCGACCAUUCGGCAGCCUCUGGAAUCUUCUUCUCAUGUCUGGUGGAAGGCAGGCUCCUCCCCAGAGCCGUAAGCAGGGCCUUCCUGGGGCCUCUCGAAGUGUGUGCAACGUGGAGAAAAAUUAUCGGCUCCGAAAUUUGACAAGAAAGCAGCAAAAUCAAAAUUAAUAAAUGCUUCAUUAAACGCCUGCCAAAUACAGCAAUGAGGCCUCCUCGGCGCUUGUUGGAUGCAGUAUUCACGAUGCGGUCGUCAUAAAAACUUCAUUACAUUUGAGAAAACAGCUACGAGAACUCCUAAGGAUGCUAUUGGUUGUGGGGGGAAUCACAGGUAAUUCCGACUUUGAUGAAUUACCCACCACCAGAUAAUUUAAGAAGCUGAAUCAUUAAACUCCUUUCAAAUAUUUUU